rnacentral:lncRNA from 1 species
GCAUAAGAUAUACUCCCAUCCUUCCUUUUCUAUCAAAUAAGUUACCAGUGUCAUCGUUCGCUGAUCUUUAAGUUUUAAAAUAUCUUAGAUGAUUUUGGAUGGGGUUGAAAAGACUAAAAUAUCUAAAAUUAGCUAAUUUAACCCCAAUCUUUUUAAAAUUAAUCAAAUAUUUUUAAUCUUGCUUCAAACUAGUUAAAAAAUUUUAAAAUUUAAAUAGAUUAGAAAAUAAUAAUGUCGGCA